CCUACGGGGAGCUGCAGUGAGGAAUAUUGGUCAAUGGACGAGAGUCUGAACCAGCCAAGUAGCGUGAAGGAUGACUGCCCUAUGGGUUGUAAACUUCUUUUAUAUGGGAAUAAAAUGUUCCACGUGUGGGAUUUUGUAUGUACCAUAUGAAUAAGGAUCGGCUAACUCCGUGCCAGCAGCCGCGGUAAUACGGAGGAUCCGAGCGUUAUCCGGAUUUAUUGGGUUUAAAGGGAGCGUAGGUGGAUUGUUAAGUCAGUUGUGAAAGUUUGCGGCUCAACCGUAAAAUUGCAGUUGACACUGGCAGUCUUGAGUACAGUAGAGGUGGGCGGAAUUCGUGGUGUAGCGGUGAAAUGCUUAGAUAUCACGAAGAACUCCGAUUGCGAAGGCAGUUCACUGGACUGCAACUGACACUGAGGCUCGAAAGUGUGGGUAUCAAACAGGAUUAGAUACCCGAGUAGUC
rnacentral:rRNA from 1 species